AUGGGCAUCUUCAAUAUCCUUCGUACUGACCCCUUUAAUAUCAUAAAUCUUCACACUUCUCUUCAAGUUAUCUCGCAGCUCCAUAAUAAUCUUCAUAACAACAACAACAUCCUCCUCCAUCUACACUAUCAACACCAUGCGGUAGAGAAUAACAUCAACGUCAAAUUUGCAAUCGUAACAACUCAGAACUCACAUAGAAAAUAA